CUACGAGUCGCUCCAGUGGGGAAUAUUGGACAAUGGGCGAAAGCCUGAUCCAGCAAUGCCGCGUGAGUGAUGAAGGCCUUAGGGUUGUAAAGCUCUUUUACCCGGGAUGAUAAUGACAGUACCGGGAGAAUAAGCUCCGGCUAACUCCGUGCCAGCAGCCGCGGUAAUACGGAGGGAGCUAGCGUUGUUCGGAAUUACUGGGCGUAAAGCGCACGUAGGCGGCUUUGUAAGUUAGAGGUGAAAGCCUGGAGCUCAACUCCAGAAUUGCCUUUAAGACUGCAUCGCUCGAAUCCAGGAGAGGUGAGUGGAAUUCCGAGUGUAGAGGUGAAAUUCGUAGAUAUUCGGAAGAACACCAGUGGCGAAGGCGGCUCACUGGACUGGUAUUGACGCUGAGGUGCGAAAGCGUGGGGAGCAAACAGGAUUAGAUACCCCCGUAGUC
rnacentral:rRNA from 1 species